GAGGACCGUAUUCAUGGAAGAGGAUCGAACAGACUACUGAGUUCUUAUGAGAAAAAUGGCUCUUAAGAAAUUGAAGGUGAUACCAAAGGAAAGUUACUUAUUACUUUUGGACUUUGAUGAUGAGGACGAUGAUAUAAAAGUUUCAGAGGAGGCUCUUUCGGAAGAGAUGAAGUAGACAGUAUGUUGGAUAAAUCUGAAGCUGCAUCAUUGGACUCAAACUGAAUGGUCCAUGUGUUGCCACUGAUGUGAGCCAUU
rnacentral:lncRNA from 1 species